rnacentral:lncRNA from 1 species
UUUGGGUCUUAAAAUUCUUUAAAGGUUUCCAAAUAGUUUGAAUUACCUUUUGUCCUACUGUUUGACUAACCUUAAAAGUUCAAAUUGUUAAUUAUCUACUUCAUAAUUUCGUCGAAGACUAGAUCUGGUUUUGAGUACGAUAAAACGUCUCUGCGCAGGGGAAAAGCGAGAUGCUGCGUUGGUGUCUGUCUAUCUUUUCGUGUGUGUAAUGGACAUGUUCAGUUAAGUGGUUAACAAGGGUCCAACACAUAGGUCCAAUUAAUGGAUAACUCGGCUGCUGGGCCUAACAAGUUAUAAACAUGUUUCAUUUAAUUUGUUUCUAAUUCUCUCUAGUGAGGAUGUUAGCAAGCUAGCUGUUAUAGAACUCUUACAUUUAGAUUACUCUUAUAAAUAUGUGUUCAUUGUCUAUAGGGAGACA